rnacentral:tRNA from 1 species
AGGGAUGUAGUUUAUAUAAAAUAUCUGUUUUGCGUACAGAAGAUUAAUUUCUCUG